CGGAAGAAUGAUGAACUGGGAAACGUGCAGGCUUCUCCCGGCAACGGCGAUACAGCACCAACGACCACCACCCCGCCUGGCGACGGCGCCAAAAACAAGGUAAGAUCGCACAUUCACUGUUAAACUUUCCAUAUUUGGCAACCAAUUAAUUGCACAAGCUAACCAAGAUUUAGAAUGUGCAGACGGCAGAGGACAAUGUGACUGAAACAAAUGUGCAGCACCAGCAGCAACAGCAGCAGGGGUUCAGUGCGGACGAGACGGACAGCGACGACGACAUCAACAUGGCAAGAGACUACACAGUCUACACUGAAGAAGGCAACGACGAAGACAAAAUGAAGUACAAGAUGGGCGUCCAGAAGCCUGAUGUGAUCGGGAGCAGCGGCAACGUACCUGCAUCACCACCAGCACCAGCACCAGCACCGGCAGCACCAGUGACGGCUGCAGCACCGACGAGUUCAGCUGCCCCAACGGGCAGCACCUUCCUUGCCGUUCAGU
rnacentral:lncRNA from 1 species